rnacentral:rRNA from 1 species
AAAACGACUCUCGGCAACGGAUAUCUCGGCUCUCGCAUCGAUGAAGAACGUAGCGAAAUGCGAUACUUGGUGUGAAUUGCAGAAUCCCGUGAACCAUCGAGUCUUUGAACGCAAGUUGCGCCCCAAGCCGUUAGGCCGAGGGCACGCCUGCNUGGGUGUCACGC